CGACGGGUGAAGUAACACGUACUACCAACCCGGACCGAUGACGGUACGGGGAUAGUCCUUACGAAAGAAAGAUUAAUACCCGAUGGCAUAGUUCUUCCGCAUGGUAGAACUAUUAAAGAAUUUCGGUCAUCGAUGGGGAUGCGUUCCAUUAGGUUGUUGGCGGGGUAACGGCCCACCAAGCCUUCGAUGGAUAGGGGUUCUGAGAGGAAGGUCCCCCACAUUGGAACUGAGACACGGUCCAA
rnacentral:rRNA from 1 species